AUUUCGUAAAAAAAUAAAUUAAUAGAUCCGAUUUAUGUAAAUCUGGAGAGAUUCAAGUCCCUGCUACUGCUGAAGUGAACGCCGGAUUGUCCUCUCCCCGUGCGCUGCAGGCUGUGCUGCUUGGCGUGGUGGAGAUAGUGGGCGUAAAAGUGGGUCCAACUCCUGCUAAUAGAUACAAAAACACAGAUUUGUGACAACGAAUCAAAGGCCAAACUGACCAAUCAGUCAAACAAAAAACCACGGAACAUGGGCAAACACAGAACUGCGCAGCAAGAUGCCAUAUUCAUCGCAUUUAUGGAGAGACACCCAAUGAUAGCCAAAAACUACCUCAAGGGUGAUAAGCUGGCAGCUGAAGCCGCCAGGAAGCGGCUUUCAAAUGAGUUAAAUAGCGUGGGUCCGCCUGGCCUUGGCUCUUGAUAGGUAUGGAAAGACUGGAAAAGCUGCAUUCGUAAAAAGAUUAACAAUAACAACAAUAACAAUAACAUGCCUGCGGCAAAGGCUCGCUGUAUCAGGAUACACUCCCUGCUCUAGAGGAUGCAGUGGCCGUGAUCUGUGACUUGUAUGAUAAGCCCGACAGAGUAGUCGAAUCUCGUCCAAAGGCACGUCCUGAAAUUUCCAACCGUUUGCAACUGCAGGACAUCAAGACCGACCACGACGAGGUCACAGCCACAGAUGACGAUGAUGAGGAAGAAGAUGACUGCUCCAGCCGGAUUAAUUUAUUUAUUAAAUUAACAAAUUAUCUGUUAAUAAUGGUGCUUAGUUACUAAAGGCGGAAAAAGAUAAGUUA